GAUUGCUGCAAGACAGAGAGAAGAGGCAUGAGUGACUCUCUGCGCUGGUGCCCCAACCUUGCCUCCUUCAUGUGCCUGCUCAGGUCUACAGGGGAUCGUGCUGGGCACGGGGAGCAGCACAUCCUGCGUGGCCCGAAGCAGGCCAGCCCACGGACCACCUAGAAAAAAUAGGUACUCCUUCAAGACAGGAAAAGAACAGAGCCAAAGGAGGCAAGGCUAACUCUGGGCACAGACACAGAGCGAGCAUCCGUGCUCACCAACACUGCCAGGGGACACAACCAGACAGUCUGCAGAUGGGAAAACCAGAAGGGCUUACUGCUUGGGAAACCUACUGGGGUCCACGGGCCCUCAAAUCCCAGCUAAGAACUGGAUUAAGAACUCUUUGGUGAUUAGUGUACUGAAGCAUGGGCGUCAGGCUUAAAUAAAAUCCUAUCGUCGAACAGCUGACUUCCCUUCUCUACUCUGGGU